AAACAUUUANUAGUAACGAAAGUACUAUUAUUAUAAUCUAAUAAAACUUUCAACAACGGAUCUCUUGGCUCUCGCAUCGAUGAAAAACGCAGCGAAAUGCGAUAAGUAAUGUGAAUUGCAGAAUUCAAUGAAUCAUCYAAUCUUUGAACGCACCUUGCGCUCUAUGGUAUUCCGUAGAGCAUGCCUGUUUGAGUGUCAUGA
rnacentral:rRNA from 1 species